GCGGUGGAUUCGUGGAUUUUCGUGUGGCAAACAGAACAGUGCGUGACAUCAUGUGCGCGUGCUGCUGAGUAACAAUAGCAGCAGCACCCCACGUGUUUUCACGCUCGUAGUCUGUGAAGCAACAAGGCAGCAGUGCAGUGCG